CCAGGAUGUUGGCUUAGAAGCAGCCAUCAUUUAAAGAAAGCGUAAUAGCUCACUGGUCGAGUCGGCCUGCGCGGAAGAUGUAACGGGGCUAAACCAUGCACCGAAGCUGCGGCAGCGAACGUAUCACCCAAGACAACUUUACGGAGUUGACGAUUGACGGAGCGAAGCGACGUCAAAGCGUUCAUUAAAGUCGAGUUGGCUUAGGGAUACGUUCGUUGGGUAGGGGAGCGUUCUGUAAGCCUGUGAAGGUGUGUCGUGAGGCAUGCUGGAGGUAUCAGAAGUGCGAAUGCUGACAUAAGUAACGAUAAAGCGGGUGAAAAGCCCGCUCGCCGGAAGACCAA
rnacentral:rRNA from 6 species